GUGUAAAUUCAGUCCUCAGGGAACCAAAGGCCGAGUCUCUGCCCCAUGUGUCAGAGCGGGCUCCAGUGUCUGUGUGUGAUGGGGAGUUCCCAGCUUGCAUUACCCAGUACUCCUGGUUGGCCAUUUAUUAACACAGAGGACCAGCACUGUGCUAGAAAUUCCUUGUUACAUCUGUUUGUCUUGGGUAGGCAGCAGCAGGGCCUGGGAGCUGCGCUCCUGGCUGGAAACAGUUGCACUUGGAUAUCACUUCUCAGGGUGUGAUUAAAUACAGACAAAAGCUGAGGAUUUAUGCUGCAGCACAGGGCUCGGCAGCCACAGAGGCCACUCUGUGAGUGUCAAGAGGGCCAGGAGCAGGAGAGUCUGGCCUGGAGACAGGGACGCGCCACUACCACCCAGUGGCUCCCACCCUCCUGGACUCCAGCCAGGAGUGCACAAUCCUUGUCUUAAAUAGGAUUGAGCAAAGGAUGGGACAACCGGCGUCUGUUGUAUAAGCCUAGGGGGCUGGGGACUGGGGCCCUCGACUGUCAUGGCCACUGCACUAAUUUGUGGAGUUAACUAACAUUAUGUAUUCUAACUCUGGGAGGAAAGGACAUUUCAGCCACCGGGCUCCCAUGUGUUCCAGGAGGCUGCUGAAUGAUGUUUCUCUAGCAUCACUGCUUGGUACUACCCCGCCUGGCCCUCCUUCUCGGGGAGCAGCCAGCCUCUUCGUUUGAAGGCAUCUGUCCUAGAGGUGCACUGCUUCUCCUUCUGAAUGGUGUGAUUGGAAGUGAUCCCCAAGCACUCUGCCACUCUUCCGCUUAUUUUGGCCCAGGCAAAUCCAGCCAGCAUUCGAGCUGUGGGUGCCGUCAGAAAGAGGCUGGCUCACUGGCCAGCCUGCUCAGGGUCUGCCGUGUGCUUCCCACUGCAGCAGCUACCACAGGCGCCGAGAAAUCGCUCCCUGGUCUGUGUCUGCAGAGGCAGGCCCAGGAGUGGCCCCGCCUACUUCCAGGCACAGGCUGCUCGUCCGCCUGGUUUUCCUGGAGGGAACUGCUGCGUAGAUUUUUCACGAGCAAGUCCUUACAGGUGGUUUCUGUUUUGAGCCAGGUUUUCAGCUAGGAGCUUUUUUGGGAGUCUGUGCAGAUGAACAAAAUCAACACUGGUCAAAGUCUAGAUAUCUACGAGGAGGGGAUAAAUUAUGAUAAAUACAUCUGAUGGAUACUAGAUCUUUUUAUUAAGAAAGUACUUCUGUGCUAAAUGAAAAAAAGCAGGACACAAACUGAAUAUACGUUAUGAUCCCAAGUAUGUUACAAAACAGAAAGAAAAAGAUGGGAAGAAAAAACACCAAAAUAUUAACAUUGGUUUUCUUGAGAAAAUGGGAAUUCCGGUGAUCUCUUUUGAUCUCUCCUGUAUUUCCUUAUAUUUUCUGCACUGAAUGUGUAUUAACUUUUAUUAUUAGAAAAUGAUUUUUAAAAUUUAAGUCCUAGUUCAAAAAAUAAACGUGUCAGAGAAAGGGGGCAGAUGGACUCCUCCGACUUACAGGGCAGCUCCAUGGAACGCCAUCCAGGUCCCCAGUGCUUCUGCUGCCAGCACUCCACUGAUAAGCAUGUUGAGAGUGAGGAAGUUUCUUCCUGCUUCUGUGCCCCCUUUCUCCCAAUGGUUUCCUCAUUGUCAGGCCACGUACAUAUCUGCUGAAUUGAGUUGGAGGCACGUGCAUUCUGUAUUUUUCUAAGAGUAGGGCCAGGCUUUUCCUGAGCAGUCGGGCAGCGGCAGAGGGGUGCCCUGUAGGGAGCUUACCCAGGACCUGCCAAGCACACCUCCUUGGCCACAGUCACAGCGCACGUUCUGAGGCACCAGGCUGAAGGCGCAGCGCCUGUCCCAGCAGUGAUAAGUAUUUGUGGUUUGUUUUUGAUUCAGAUUGGGGAAGACUUUGAGCCCUGCUGAGACUCAGAGCAUCUCCCUUUUAUUUGCUUUGCUGUUCGUGCUAAUUAUGGAAGAGCUCUGUUUUUCCAGGAGGAAUGGCUCCUGGUUGGCCCGUUCUCGGCCACCAAGGUAACAGGGAAAGUUUGGUGUUCAGUCAUGACUGUGGACUGGACGGAGGUGGCGCCGGUGGGAGACCAACAGAGGAAGCUCUCCUCCCGGCUCCCAGUUCUGGCUUUCGCUAGAAGACAAGAGAAAUGAGGAAAACAGCUACCCUAGGAAAUGCCUUCCUUGAAAAUGGUUUCCUUUUUCUCAGGUUUGAUGAGUUUGGGGAUUUGUUGUUGUCAUUUUUUAAGUAAAAAAAAAUGCCCCAAACAUUAGUGUUCAUUAUCCUAGUCUGAUUUGGGUCCGGCUCUACCUGUAGGAGAUGAAUGUGGUAGGCCAGGGGGCCCCUGUGGAUUCUAAUUUAUGUUUUCAGUUGUUUGCCAUUUUGUAUCUUCAUUACGGGGCUACUUUCCUGCCUCCCUAAAGUCAUCUUUCCCAGCAUGCUGUUUCUGGACUUUAUUUAGUACCGUGGUUACCUCCUGCAGGCUGUGUGGCCCCAUCCUUCACCAAAAUGUCACCUCAAUUAAUUCGGCGGCCAUGAGACAGAUCCAUCACUGGCCCGCCAACUCCCGUCAGCAGGCGCCCAUGAGUGAUGGGCAUCUCCACGCCUCCCACGGCACCCCCCACCAUAUGGAGUCAGCCGGGCAGGACUCACCAUCCCUCUGGGCACGAGGGCACCUGGCUGCCCCGAGUCCUCUCACGCCCUAUGCUGAGGGAGACUUCAGCCUCAGGAGGAGACCCCGGGCGCAUUCAUUCCACCUAGCUGGCCUUGUUCCCCAGCCCUGCACUCAGGGAUGCCUCAGGAGAGCCAAUGCUCUGGCAGGGCAGCCAGGUGCCCUUUUCCUUUGGGCCAGGCCCAGGCAGUGGGGACUUAGUUGAAUCUGCUCAUUCCCACCCCAGCUCCACACAGCACAGCAGUGCAAAUGGAGCUGGCAGAAGAGCUGACUUCUCAUUUCUCUUUCCUCUCCCUUCUCUGGCCCAUAGGUGUUUGAGGAACUGUGGAAGAGGGAAGGCAAGACUCCAGGGCAGAUUGUUUCAGAAAAGCAGCUUGAACUGAUGCAGGACCAGGGGGCACUGGAGCAGCUCUGCCACUCUGUGAUGGAGGCCCAUCCUCAAGUGGUGACUAUCUCGGGCAGGGGAGAGGGCCAGAGCCAGCCCCAGGACAUGCCCAAGAGCCUCGCCAUCGCUCCCUGUGGCAGCCCAGAGGCUCUUCCUAAGAAUGGCUGACCCAGUUUCAUCAAUAAUUCCCUCACUGUCAUCUUUUUAGUUAAGGUAAUGGAUGUGAAGAACAGAAACCCCAGAGCUAUAAAUAAACUGAUUGGGUUGGUCCGGAAAGCGACUCAAAGCCGAGCAGAUCCAGUCAUGAUAAAGGAGAUCCUGGAGAAGAAGCUGUCAUUGUGAGAUGUUUGGGAUCCCCUUGCCCAAGGGACAACAGUGCAGCCUGACUGGGAACAGGAUCCCGUGAAAGCUGAUGCCCAUGUGCCCUGAGAGCUGCCUCUCAAUCCCUGUCCCGAGCCACAGCUAUGGCGUUAAUGUCACCAGUGUUCUCACCCUCUAGGCCCUGUGCCUGGAGGUGCCUCCACAGCCGACCAGCAGCCACCCCGCCUGCUUCAUGCACAUCAGGAGGGUCCGGUGAGGCUGCAGCAGUGGUUAAGGAGUAACACCUUCUUGUAUUAAGGAAUUUUAAACUAAAUAAAAUGUAUGUUGGAGAUACUGUUACCCAUUCUAAG
rnacentral:sRNA from 1 species